rnacentral:lncRNA from 1 species
CUGGAGACUUGAGAACAAACGCCGCUUGAACAAUGUGGGCACCAAGCCCAAAACUGCCAAGUUGCCUUUGGGAAUGCAGACACUUAACUGUGUUCCUGGAUGGAUAACAAAACAGACUGCUUUCCUCUUCUCCUACCUCCCCUGUAAUAAAUAGUCAAAGAUGCAUCAUGUGAAAAUACUGCGUCUGGGCUUUGAGACCAUAUGCUGACACUGAGAAUCUGAAAUGGGCUGACUCAUGGGUCUUGUGAAUUUUUUCUUCAUUGUCCUGAUUAAUAAGAGUAGCCAUUUUGACUAGAAACAAAGUUGGAUAAGGGAUGAGGUCAUGGCACCUUGAACCUGAAAACCAAAAUGGAAAUCCUGGCUGUCUGUUAAUGGCUGUGAAAUCUUGGGUAGGGGGCUCUAAUUUUCUGUGCCCCCCAGAAUAUCAAAGAAAAACAGUUGGCGAGGCCUUCAGCACAUGUGCAGCAAAUAUCCACAGGCCUGUCUCAGGAAAUUUGAGGCUGGGCCUUUGCCUGACUCUGUUGCUGCUGCCGCCUUUGCUACCGCUGACACUUGGAACCGCCGCCUCCGCGCAGCGGCCAGACGCGGGGCCCGGAGCGGUCUACGCAGUCGGAGGAGGGCACCGACAUUGUCUUUCUCUCCACCGUGCGGCACCGGACCGCCACCCACGCAGGGGAGUCUGGGCCUGCGCCCCCCGCCCGCGCCCGCCGCAGGUGAGACUCCCGCUCCCCACGGAGUUCUGUUUGGGUUUCCGUGGCGUUUGUUCCCCGCAGGUUUGUUUGUUUUUCUUCAAAUUACAGAUGCAGGGAAAACCGCCUGACAUCAUGAGAGCGGGACAAACGCUCACUUUGAAGGAUUCCUGGGCAGGACUUCAAGUGAAAUCAUAUGCCUGAGAAGAACUUGAUACCGGUCUAGAGAAAAUAACCAGUUCUGAGUUUGCCAAACCGUGGAAUGUGCAAAAUGCUCGACUUUUUUGCAAGAGGCCAAGUGUCCCUUAAAAAGCUCCAUUAUGAAUAUGAGCCUGAAGACUGCAGGAGCAAGAAGCUUGUGCCGUUGUUGAGUGUGGGAAAAAAGUACACACAGUAUGUGAGUUGUUGCUAUUUAACAUUAUUUUAUUAAUAAUUUGUACCACUUUAGAGAGGAUACCUGCAACUGUGUAUGAAUUUAUCAUCUGUGCAUGUGCUUAGCAAGUGUGUGCACAAAGAAGGAAAAUAAAUGUGUGUGUAUAAGAAAAUUUACUUUCUUA